rnacentral:rRNA from 1 species
CGUGAACGGGGGUAACCCCUAGUAAAGUGGCGUACGGGUGAGUAACACGUAGGUAAUCUACCCUAGAGUCUGGAAUAACCUGCCGAAAGGCGGGCUAAUACUGGAUAGAGCGACGGAAUCCGUAAUUGGGUUUUUCGGGAAAGGGAGCUCGCAAGAGCCCUCGCUUUAGGAUGAGCCUGCGUCCCAUUAGUUAGUUGGCAGGGUAACGGCCUACCAAGACAGUGAUGGGUAGCUGGUCUGAGAGGAUGAUCAGCCACACUGGAACUGAAACACGGUCCAGACUCCUACGGGAGGCAGCAGUGGGGAAUCUUGCGCAAUGGACGAAAGUCUGACGCAGCCACGCCGCGUGAGUGAAGAAGGCCUUCGGGUUGUAAAGCUCUGUCGCUCGGGACGAAAAGUUUGGGAUUUAAAAGAUCUCAGAUCUGACGGUACCGAGAGAGGAAGCACCGGCUAACUCCGUGCCAGCAGCCGCGGUAAUACGGAGGGUGCAAGCGUUGCUCGGAAUUAUUGGGCGUAAAGGGUAGGUAGGUGGUCUCAUUUGUCUAUGGUGAAAGCCUUGGGCUUAACCUGAGAAGUGCCGUAGAAACGGUGAGACUGGAGUCCUGGAGAGGAUCGUGGAAUUCCCGGUGUAGCGGUGAAAUGCGUAGAGAUCGGGAGGAACACCAGAGGCGAAGGCGGCGAUCUGGACAGGAACUGACACUCAACUACGAAAGCGUGGGUAGCAACAGGAUUAGAUACCCUGGUAGUCCACGCUGUAAACGAUGGGUACUAGGCUUGGUGGGACUUGACCCCUGCCGAGCC